CCCUUAGACACUCUAGGCGGCACGCGCGCUACAAUGGGUGGAAGAGCGUGUUACUGCCUCCGAAAGGAGGGGUGAAUCACGAAUUCUUGCCCGUGAAUGGGAUAGUUUGUUGCAAUUUUCGGACUUGAACUAGGAAUCCCUUGUAAACAUGCUCAAGAAUAGCGUGUUGAAUACGUCCCUGCCGUUUGUACACACCGCCCGUCGUUUCUUCCGACUGAUACUCAUUGUGAGUUGCAAGGACCCUUUAUUGGGAAAUUGCUGCAAAUGCUUUGUAUUGGAGGAAGAAAAAGUCGUAACA
rnacentral:rRNA from 1 species